rnacentral:tRNA from 1 species
UCCCAGGUGGCUCAGUGGUAAAGAAUCUGCCUGUGAUGCAGGAGACCUGGGUUCCAUCCCUGGGUUGGGAA